CCAGAAUCCACUCUGGCUGGAAUCCGGUGGAUACAGCAGUGUUACAGAUUUCAGAAGAGCAAAGAUGAGGACUCCUACUUCAUCCUUAAUAGUUUAACUGGAUUGGAAAUCAAAAAAAUCCGGAUUCUUCUUCCACAGAAGUUUCAUUUGUCAGUGUGGGACUGCUGAGUCACCUGAAGAACUCAUUUCAUUCUCCACGAUGUUGAUUUACAGAAAUGUUUCACAGGAACUGAUUCCUCCCAAAGGGUGAACUAGUGUGUUUCCAUAGAUUAUCUCUGUAUGAAUGUACUUCUUAAAUGAAGGCAAGUGUUUGUCCUUUUUUGUUCCUCAGGUACUGUACGUGAUAUUAAGGGCAGGCGGUCAUCACUGGGGGAAGACAAGAAGCAGACGUACUUCCAAGAGGGAGCUGCAGUGAGGACACAGCCUGUCACUGAGGUCAGAGGAGGCGCUGAAAGGUUUCCCUAAUAGUUCCUGGUGAAUCAAAGCAGGACCAUAAAGGUUGCUGGACUGCAUGAUGGCCUUACCCCUGAGCAGUCAUCCUGUUAAAGGACCAACCAGUUAGAAGCUGUUUUCAAAGUAGCUGAGCAGAUUUCAUCUCAAGUAAGCGAUUAACUGUUUGUUCAUUUGUUCUGCCACUUAAAGAGCAUUUAAGGACGUCUUUUGAGUGUCCAGUUGAAUUAAUUCUACUGGCUCUCAUGGUCAUUUGUGAUUAUGGACAUAUUUUUCAUGUUUUCAACCAUUUAGUAAAUUCUAUCUUACAGUCUGAGAAAUCACAGUGUUGAUAUUCAGCGCGAAGAGAAAAGCUCACUUGUUUGAAUUUAUUUACAAUCAUAGUUUUUAUAAAUUCUGACUGUAAACAGCUUUUACAGCUUUGAUAUUGUUUGACACUCGAUAUCAGGUGAUGGUAUCUAAUUUAAAGGUUUCUGUGUCCCAAUGAGCCAUUUACACUGACCAGUUCAGUUUAACUGUAACACAUUCAUUAUUUAGAUCCAACGUUUCUAAGAGAAAUAACUGAAUGUAAAAAAUGGCAGCCCUCAGGCCAGGUUUAA